UACGUAGGGGGCAAGCGUUGUCCGGAAUCAUUGGGCGUAAAGCGCGCGCAGGCGGCCUUUUAAGUCUGAUGUGAAAUCUUGCGGCUCAACCGCAAGCGGCCAUUGGAAACUGGGAGGCUUGAGUACAGAAGAGGAGAGUGGAAUUCCACGUGUAGCGGUGAAAUGCGUAGAUAUGUGGAGGAACACCAGUGGCGAAGGCGACUCUCUGGUCUGUAACUGACGCUGAGGCGCGAAAGCGUGGGGAGCAAACAGG
rnacentral:rRNA from 1 species